UCCUUAACAAGUGGAAUGGAACUC
rnacentral:piRNA from 1 species